rnacentral:rRNA from 1 species
AAGAUGAAGUUUUCGGAUGGAAUCUUGAUUGACUGAGUGGCGGACGGGUGAGUAACGCGUGGAUAACCUGCCUCACACUGGGGGAUAACAGUUAGAAAUGACUGCUAAUACCGCAUAAGCGCACAGUGCCGCAUGGCAGUGUGUGAAAAACUCCGGUGGUGUGAGAUGGAUCCGCGUCUGAUUAGCCAGUUGGCGGGGUAACGGCCCACCAAAGCGACGAUCAGUAGCCGACCUGAGAGGGUGACCGGCCACAUUGGGACUGAGACACGGCCCAAACUCCUACGGGAGGCAGCAGUGGGGAAUAUUGCACAAUGGGCGAAAGCCUGAUGCAGCGACGCCGCGUGAGUGAAGAAGUAUUUCGGUAUGUAAAGCUCUAUCAGCAGGGAAGAAAAUGACGGUACCUGACUAAGAAGCCCCGGCUAACUACGUGCCAGCAGCCGCGGUAAUACGUAGGGGGCAAGCGUUAUCCGGAUUUACUGGGUGUAAAGGGAGCGUAGACGGCGAAGCAAGUCUGAAGUGAAAACCCAGGGCUCAACCCUGGGACUGCUUUGGAAACUGUUUUGCUAGAGUGUCGGAGAGGUAAGUGGAAUUCCUAGUGUAGCGGUGAAAUGCGUAGAUAUUAGGAGGAACACCAGUGGCGAAGGCGGCUUACUGGACGAUAACUGACGUUGAGGCUCGAAAGCGUGGGGAGCAAACAGGAUUAGAUACCCUGGUAGUCCACGCCGUANACGAUGAAUGCUAGGUGUUGGGGGG